ACAUGGGCUUAGUUGCUCCGCGGCAUGUGGGAUCUUCCCGGACCAGGGCUCGAACCCGUGUCCCCUGCAUUGGCAGGCGGAUUCUUAACCUCUGUGCCCCCAAGGAAGCCCCUAAAGUGCUUAUUUCAAUAGAUAAAAUGAAAAUGUGGUCAGAGAGAAUUUGUGGUAGAACCUGAGCAAGCCACGUUGCCAGGAAUUUGCAAAAGCCUUUAAUAUACAAUAAUUUCCGUUGCAAUAGAAAAACUUUAUACAGUUACUGAUGUACCAACUUAUGUUAGCCGGGGGAAAAAGUUUACACACCUGGUUGAAUGUGUUUGCCAAUUAUAUUUAUUCAGUUUCCUGUUAAAAAACCAGAACAUGGCCUGGAAAAUCCUCAUUGUUUACCUGUGACAUUAUUUCCAUGAAGAGUAAUCAUCCCAGAAACUAUUAGAGGCCCUUGGAAUAGAUGCAUCUGACCUCUUCUAACUAUCCCAUUUAAAGGAUAGCAUCUGAAGGUUUAAUAACAAAAAGCAGUUGAAGCAUUCCAAGCUGGAUAAUCAGAUUGUCAACUCUUGACCACUGACUGAGAGCUCAUUGUUACUCAGCAAACGAUGAAUAAAUGAGUGAGAAAUU